GACGAACCGUGCGAACGUUGUUCGGAAUAACUGGGCUUAAAGGGUGCGUAGGCGGGGCCGCAAGUCUGGGGUGAAAUCCUCCCGCUCAACGGGAGAACUGCCGUGGGUACUGCGGACCUCGAGGAAGAUAGGGGCGUGCGGAACAGUUGGUGGAGCGGUGAAAUGCGUUGAUAUCAACUGGAACACCGGUGGCGAAGGCGGCACGCUGGGUCUGUACUGACGCUGAGGCACGAAAGCUAGGGGAGCAAACGGG
rnacentral:rRNA from 1 species